rfam:Pseudomonas sp. M30-35, complete genome.
AUACGUGUAAGGUGGAGAUGUACAGCAGCUGGUUUGCGUAGCAAUGAGCUUUAUCAAGACGCCUUAUCUCGUCCGCUACCAUCUGCUGAUUCCUCCUCCUGACUUAGUGCUUACUGUCACAUACAGCGAGCAGGAGACGUCUGUCGCGGCCCAGCACAAUUGGCUGACCGUCGCUCGACAAUGAAACGCCUUACAACCGUUUCUGACGCGCCUAACACCGACUCUGAAAGUCGUGUUUGCCGAACGCCGCUUCCGAUGCAACGGAAACCGA